GGGCUGUCUGCUCCUCUAAGUGGGUUCUCACUGCAUGAUCUGCUGGAUAAAGCUAGAUGACUAUAAGUACACUUAAAACACCUUUUUUCUCUAAAUUAAACAGGGAUGCAAUGUGAGAAGAAUAUAAAAUUUGCAUGAAUUUUUAAGAUGAAAUACGGAAACUUCAAAGACAUUUUCAGCCUGACUGCUUUCAGCUAUGCCCCCAGAUUCCCCCAGAGGGACGCUGUCGCUUGCCUUUGCCGACAGGCGACUUGCUAGAAAAGUCUGGGAAGCUCUGGUCUACAGAAGGCUCUGAUCACAGAUGAAAGCCCCUCUUCUUUCCUUACCCUGAAAUUACAAGUCAAGAAGGGAAACAAGUGCGCACAACUCAGGCUUAUCAAAGCAUGACUCCACAUGAGGCUGUGUGACAUCCCCAAGGGCCUUUAAUAGAAGAGGCCCAUGGACUCUGGACUCAAAGUUCAGGUACUCACAUGGUGUUCCCCCGAUGGGUCCCUGGAGGGCCCUCUCUAGGGGUCACAGACUUACAUGAGAAGAGCCCUCACAUUCCCAUACACCUAAAUACUAAGACCAGCCAUGCCUACUAAUCUUGCUCCAAAUCUGCCCUCAAGAAACCAAUCCCUG
rnacentral:lncRNA from 1 species